rnacentral:rRNA from 1 species
GGCGGCGUGCUUAACACAUGCAAGUCGAACGGAAAGGCCCUUCGGGGUACUCGAGUGGCGAACGGGUGAGUAACACGUGGGUGAUCUGCCCUGCACUCUGGGAUAAGCCUGGGAAACUGGGUCUAAUACCGGAUAGGACCACACACUUCAUGGUGAGUGGUGCAAAGCUUUUGCGGUGUGGGAUGAGCCCGCGGCCUAUCAGCUUGUUGGUGGGGUAAUGGCCCACCAAGGCGACGACGGGUAGCCGGCCUGAGAGGGUGACCGGCCACACUGGGACUGAGAUACGGCCCAGACUCCUACGGGAGGCAGCAGUGGGGAAUAUUGCACAAUGGGCGCAAGCCUGAUGCAGCGACGCCGCGUGAGGGAUGACGGCCUUCGGGUUGUAAACCUCUUUCAGUAGGGACGAAGCGAAAGUGACGGUACCUACAGAAGAAGGACCGGCCAACUACGUGCCAGCAGCCGCGGUAAUACGUAGGGUCCGAGCGUUGUCCGGAAUUACUGGGCGUAAAGAGCUCGUAGGUGGUUUGUCGCGUUGUUCGUGAAAACUCACAGCUUAACUGUGGGCGUGCGGGCGAUACGGGCAGACUAGAGUACUGCAGGGGAGACUGGAAUUCCUGGUGUAGCGGUGGAAUGCGCAGAUAUCAGGAGGAACACCGGUGGCGAAGGCGGGUCUCUGGGCAGUAACUGACGCUGAGGAGCGAAAGCGUGGGUAGCGAACAGGAUUAGAUACCCUGGUAGUCCACGCCGUAAACGGUGGGUACUAGGUGUGGGUUUCCUUCCUUGGGAUCCGUGCCGUAGCUAACGCAUUAAGUACCCCGCCUGGGGAGUACGGUCGCAAGACUAAAACUCAAAGGAAUUGACGGGGGCCCGCACAAGCGGCGGAGCAUGUGGAUUAAUUCGAUGCAACGCGAAGAACCUUACCUGGGUUUGACAUGCACAGGACGUACCUAGAGAUAGGUAUUCCCUUGUGGCCUGUGUGCAGGUGGUGCAUGGCUGUCGUCAGCUCGUGUCGUGAGAUGUUGGGUUAAGUCCCGCAACGAGCGCAACCCUUGUCCUAUGUUGCCAGCGGGUAAUGCCGGGGACUCGUAGGAGACUGCCGGGGUCAACUCGGAGGAAGGUGGGGAUGACGUCAAGUCAUCAUGCCCCUUAUGUCCAGGGCUUCACACAUGCUACAAUGGCCAGUACAGAGGGCUGCGAAGCCGCAAGGUGGAGCGAAUCCCUUAAAGCUGGUCUCAGUUCGGAUUGGGGUCUGCAACUCGACCCCAUGAAGUCGGAGUCGCUAGUAAUCGCAGAUCAGCAACGCUGCGGUGAAUACGUUCCCGGGCCUUGUACACACCGCCCGUCACGUCAUGAAAGUCGGUAACACCCGAAGCCAGUGGCCUAACCUUUUGGAGGGAGCUGUCGAAGGUGGGAUCGGCGAUUG